rnacentral:rRNA from 1 species
UACCAGCACCCCGAGUGGUCGGGACGUUUAUUGGGCCUAAAGCAUCCGUAGCCGGUUCUACAAGUCUUCCGUUAAAUCCACCUGCUUAACAGAUGGGCUGCGGAAGAUACUAUGGAGCUAGGAGGCGGGAGAGGCAAGCGGUACUCAAUGGGUAGGGGUAAAAUCCGUUGAUCCAUUGAAGACCACCAGUGGCGAAGGCGGCUUGCCAGAACGCGCUCGACGGCGAGGGAUGAAAGCUGGGGGAGCAAACCGG